GAUGAACGCUGGCGGCGUGCCUAAUACAUGCAAGUCGAGCGAACAGAUGAGGAGCUUGCUCCUCUGACGUUAGCGGCGGACGGGUGAGUAACACGUGGAUAACCUACCUAUAAGACUGGGAUAACUUCGGGAAACCGGAGCUAAUACCGGAUGAUAUUUUGAACCGCAUGGUUCAAUAGUGAAAGACGGUUUUGCUGUCACUUAUAGAUGGAUCCGCGCCGCAUUAGCUAGUUGGUAAGGUAACGGCUUACCAAGGCAACGAUGCGUAGCCGACCUGAGAGGGUGAUCGGCCACACUGGAACUGAGACACGGUCCAGACUCCUACGGGAGGCAGCAGUAGGGAAUCUUCCGCAAUGGGCGAAAGCCUGACGGAGCAACGCCGCGUGAGUGAUGAAGGUCUUCGGAUCGUAAAACUCUGUUAUUAGGGAAGAACAAAUGUGUAAGUAACUAUGCACGUCUUGACGGUACCUAAUCAGAAAGCCACGGCUAACUACGUG
rnacentral:rRNA from 1 species